rnacentral:rRNA from 1 species
GACGAACGCUGGCGGCGUGCUUAACACAUGCAAGUCGAACGGAAAGGCCCUGCUUUUGUGGGGUGCUCGAGUGGCGAACGGGUGAGUAACACGUGAGUAACCUGCCCUUGACUUUGGGAUAACUUCAGGAAACUGGGGCUAAUACCGGAUAGGAGCUCCUGCUGCAGGGUGGGGGUUGGAAAGUUUCGGCGGUUGGGGAUGGACUCGCGGCUUAUCAGCUUGUUGGUGGGGUAGUGGCUUACCAAGGCUUUGACGGGUAGCCGGCCUGAGAGGGUGACCGGCCACAUUGGGACUGAGAGACGGCCCAGACUCCUACGGGAGGCAGCAGUGGGGAAUAUUGCACAAUGGGCGGAAGCCUGAUGCAGCAACGCCGCGUGCGGGAUGACGGCCUUCGGGUUGUAAACCGCUUUCGCCUGUGACGAAGCGUGAGUGACGGUAAUGGGUAAAGAAGCACCGGCUAACUACGUG